rnacentral:rRNA from 1 species
UACGGUAGGGUGCAAGCGUUAAUCGGAAUUACUGGGGCGUAAAGCGUGCGCAGGCGGCUAUGCAAGACAGAUGUGAAAUCCCCGGGCUCAACCUGGGAACUGCAUUUGUGACUGCAUAGCGUAGAGUACGGUAGAGGGGGAUGGAAUUCCGCGUGUAGCAGUGAAAUGCGUAGAUAUGCGGAGGAACACCGAUGGCGAAGGCAAUCCCCCUGGACCUGUACU